UGCCCACUUCCCAAGGAUAAGAUGGAGGUCGGACAGGUACACUGACUUAUCCCAGGCCCAGCACUGGCACCAGAACUUGGGUCCCCCUGGCCCAGGUCGUGCUCCUCCCGACACCACCCUGCAGCUGACCAGAGAAGUGUGCAGCCCUGAGGAGGAGCCAAUGAGCAGAAACGGGGUGCAGUCAGGGAGCCCAGGUGACAUAAGAGGCCAGAAUCAGGGACCUUUGGGGAAGAAGUACCAGCUCCGGCUUCCCAGGUGCUGAAGGUCCACAUGACCAUUGGAAGGGACACGCCAGACCUGUGCCACGCAGUACUUUGAGGGCCCGUGAGUUUAUCCGGGCUUGGAGCAGGGGCGCAUAAUCCUCCAGUAAAGAGGGAGGGCUCUUCCUCACAUGCCUGAAAUCUGCUGCAGAAAGAUGCACGGAGCAAGAAUCUGUUCACACACCACCGUGAACCAUCUCUUUCUCCUGGCCAAACUUUCAGUGUGGUAGUACUUGGCAUUCCCAAAG